GGUUUCCUACGCAACGUUCAUCGGCGUAGGGUGAGUCGGCCCCUAAGGCGAGGCAGAAAUGCGUAGCUGAUGGGAAGCAGGUCAAUAUUCCUGCACCGUCGUUAGAUGCGAUGGGGGGACGGAUCGCGGAAGGUUGUCCGGGUGUUGGAAGUCCCGGUCGCUGCAUUGGAGAAGGCGCUUAGGCAAAUCCGGGCGCAGGAUUCAAGGGUGUGGCGCGAGCUCCUUCGGGAGCGAAGCAAUUGGAAGUGGUUCCAAGAAAAGCCUCUAAGCUUCAGUCUAACGAUGACCGUACCGCAAACCGACACAGGUGGGCGAGAUGAGUAUUCUAAGGCGCUUGAGAGAACUCGGGAGAAGGAACUCGGCAAAUUGGUACCGUAACUUCGGGAUAAGGUACGCCCUGGUAGCUUGACUGGCCUGCGCCAGAAGGGUGAAGGGGUUGCAAUAAACUGGUGGCUGCGACUGUUUAAUAAAAACACAGCACUCUGCAAACACGAAAGUGGACGUAUAGGGUGUGACGCCUGCCCGGUGCCGGAAGAUUAAAUGAUGGGGUGCAAGCUCUUGAUUGAAGUCCCGGUAAACGGCGGCCGUAACUAUAACGGUCCUAAGGUAGCGAAAUUCCUUGUCGGGUAAGUUCCGACCUGCACGAAUGGCGUAACGAUGGCCACACUGUCUCCUCCCGAGACUCAGCGAAGUUGAAGUGUUUGUGAUGAUGCAAUCUACCCGCGGCUAGACGGAAAGACCCCAUGAACCUUUACUGUAGCUUUGCAUUGGACUUUGAACCGAUCUGUGUAGGAUAGGUGGGAGGCUAUGAAACCGGAAUGCUAGUUUCGGUGGAGCCGUCCUUGAAAUACCACCCUGGUUUGUUUGAGGUUCUAACCUUGGCCCGUGAUCCGGGUCGGGGACAGUGCAUGGUAGGCAGUUUGACUGGGGCGGUCUCCUCCCAAAGCGUAACGGAGGAGUACGAAGGUACGCUAGGUACGGUCGGAAAUCGUGCUGAUAGUGCAAUGGCAUAAGCGUGCUUAACUGCGAGACCGACAAGUCGAGCAGGUGCGAAAGCAGGUCAUAGUGAUCCGGUGGUUCUGUAUGGAAGGGCCAUCGCUCAACGGAUAAAAGGUACUCUGGGGAUAACAGGCUGAUACCGCCCAAGAGUUCAUAUCGACGGCGGUGUUUGGCACCUCGAUGUCGGCUCAUCUCAUCCUGGGGCUGUAGCCGGUCCCAAGGGUAUGGCUGUUCGCCAUUUAAAGAGGUACGUGAGCUGGGUUUAAAACGUCGUGAGACAGUUUGGUCCCUAUCUGCCGUGGGCGUUGGAAGUUUGAAGGGGGCUGCUCCUAGUACGAGAGGACCGGAGUGGACGAACCUCUGGUGUACCGGUUGUGACGCCAGUCGCAUCGCCGGGUAGCUAUGUUCGGAAGAGAUAACCGCUGAAAGCAUCUAAGCGGGAAACUCGCCUUAAGAUGAGACUUCCCCGGGGACUUGAUCCCCUUGAAGGGUCGUUCGAGACCAGGACGUUGAUAGGUCGGGUGUGUAAGCGCAGUAAUGCGUUCAGCUAACCGAUACUAAUUGCCCGUACGGCUUGAUC
rnacentral:rRNA from 2 species